CUGACACAGGGAGGUAGUGACAAUAAAUAACAAUGCCGGGCCUUCUUAGGUCUGGCAAUUGGAAUGAGAACAAUUUAAACCCCUUAUCGAGUAUCAAUUGGAGGGCAAGUCUGGUGCCAGCAGCCGCGGUAAUUCCAGCUCCAAUAGCGUAUAUUAAAGUUGUUGCAGUUAAAAAGCUCGUAGUCGGAUGUCGGGCUCGGGCAAGCUGUCGGCCUUUGGUCGGACGGCAGGCUCGGGUCUUUCUGCCUGAGGAACCCGGUUGCUUUAACGAGCUGCCGGUGGACGCAGGUCGUUUACUUUGAAAAAAUUAGAGUGUUCAAAGCAGGCUAGCGCUUGAAUACAUUAGCAUGGAAUAAUGGAAUAGGACUUUGGUGCUAUUUUGUUGGUUUAUGGGACCGAAGUAAUGAUUAACAGGGACAGUUGGGGCCGUUUAUAUUUCGUUGUCAGAGGUGAAAUUCUUGGAUUUACGAAAGAUAAACUUCUGCGAAAGCAUUCGGCAA
rnacentral:rRNA from 1 species